rnacentral:rRNA from 1 species
GAUGAACGCUAGCUACAGGCUUAACACAUGCAAGUCGAGGGGAAGCGGCAUUAAGUGCUUGCACUUUUUGGACGUCGACCGGCGCAUGGGUGAGUAACGCGUAUCCAACCUUCCCAUGACUAAGGGAUAACCUGCCGAAAGGCAGACUAAUACCUUAUGGUCUUCACUGACGGCAUCAGAUGUGUAGUAAAGAUUUAUCGGUUAUGGAUGGGGAUGCGUCUGAUUAGCUUGUUGGCGGGGUAACGGCCCACCAAGGCAACGAUCAGUAGGGGUUCUGAGAGGAAGGUCCCCCACAUUGGAACUGAGACACGGUCCAAACUCCUACGGGAGGGAGCAGUGAGGAAUAUAGGUCAAGGGGCGAGAGCCUGAACCAGCCAAGUAGCGUGCAGGAUGGCGGCGCUAGGGGUUGUAAACUGCUUUUGUAUGGGGAUAAAGUCAAUCACGUGUGAUUGUUUGCAGGUACCAUACGAAUAAGGACCGGCUAAUUCCGUG